rfam:Salmo salar isolate Sally breed double haploid chromosome ssa15, whole genome shotgun sequence.
UGUAUUCACUACUGUAAGUCGCUCUGCAUAAGAGCUUCUGCUAAAUGACUAAAA